GAUGAACGCUAGCGGCAGGCCUAAUACAUGCAAGUCGAACGGUAAGGCCCUUUCGGGGGUACACGAGUGGCGGACGGGUGCGUAACGCGUAUGCAACAUGCCUUCCAGCGGGGGAUAUACCAGGGAAACUUGGCGCAAUACCCCCAUAGAAUUACGGGACCGCAUGGUCUUGUGAUUAAAAACUCCGGUGCUGGGAGAUUGGCAUGCGUGACAUUAGCUAGUUGGCGGGGUAACGGCCCACCAAGCGACGAUGUCUAGCUGGUCUGAGAGGACGACCAGCCACACUGGGACUGAGACACGGCCCAGACUCCUACGGGAGGCAGCAGUGGGAAUUUUGGACAAUGGACGCAAGUCGUGAUCCAGCAAUGCCGCGUGCAGGACGAAGGCCUCGGUUGUAACUAG
rnacentral:rRNA from 1 species